CAAUAUUAAGAAAUGAAUGUCACACCACUCACCAAUAUAUUUCGUGAUCCACAAACAAAUGUAAUAACAUUCGCAAAUAUAAUUCAUACAUUUCAUGAUCCACAAACAAAUGUAACAACAUUCACAAAUAUAAUUCAUGAUGCACAAAUGAAUGUAACCCCAUUCACAAAUGCCAGCGCAGUUCUAUUAAUUUGCAAACCGGUCUACAUAUAUUCGCAAGCCCUAUACAUAUUUGUGACUUCCAUUGUAUUUGUGUGUGGAUUUUUGAGACUGUCCUGACGGUAUUUGACACACAAAUGUGCUCAGCCAAUCACAUCAGCCGGCGUUCGAGCGUAAGGUUGAAGACAUUGCGCUUCUAUUACGCAGAGCAGGCUACUAGUGCGAAGCCACCAUAGAUCUGUAUAAAUAACUGGAAGUAGAGCCAUUACUGAAGUGCUCCCUGACGUAAACUCGGAAGCUUAUGAAGUUACUGACUUUCACAUCAUCUUUGUACAAAUAUGUCUGGAUCUGGACUAACGUGUGCCGUAAUCGGAUGUAACAAUAACAGCAGAAAGCUAAAAAUGUGGAAAAAGAGCGUAUGUGCGCUUCAUAGUCCACAGUUUAAAGAGGAUUGUCCAUGUUGUGUGCCCUACGGUGUACACCGCUUCCCCGGCCGUGCUGAGGAUGAAGACAUUCGCAAGAUGUGGAUUAAACACGUACACCGAAAGGACUUUGCCCCCAAACAAGUAUUCAAGGGUGUGUGCGGAGUACACUUCCCUGACGGCAGACCAACGCAGGAACACCCAUAUCCCAUAAUAUGGGAUAUGAAUAUAGUAAAGCACCGUCAUGUGGAAGACCACCCCAAAGAGGAGAUGUCUCCAGCCCCCAACAGAGAGACCAUGUGAUGAGCCUCCUGUGACAGAUUCUGACACCGAAGCCUACAUCAAACUCAACCCCAUACUCAGAGCACACAUUCAGAAGUUGCUGAAACUCAACAGCGCCGGGGGACAUGGGCCUAAUAGCCAGAUCAUCAAAUGGUUGAAAACAGUGCAUGUGUUUUAUUGUCUGUGUAUAAAUCUCGUCAUACAUCCAGUGCGUUUUGUUUUUUUUAACAGACGUGUUUUCACAAUGACACUCUGAGAAUUUACUUUUGAACAAAGUGUCUUGUGUAUAAAAUGGUGUGCAGACAGCCGGAGUGUGUGUGUUGCGUAAAGGAACAAGUGCUUUGCAAAGCUGGUAUGAAAGUGUAAUGCUAGACUUUUGAUUAAGGUAAAGCAGCAUGUGUUAUAGUACCAACAACUGAACAAUAUGCUACUUUGGUCAUCAGCCUUUAAUGUUUAAGCAGUAGCCUAGGCAAAAACUGUAACAAAGUAAAAACAAAACAAAGAAAAUAUAACUGCCGAAUGAAUUAAGAACCUGAAUUAUCACCAGCAUUUGACCGGUUGUUAAUUUAAAACCAGGCAUGCAUAUGUAUCUAUAUCUAUCUUUAGAAAUUAGGCCUACGUUAACAACAGGGAAUCUUUAUCUUUUCAGGUCAAGGUGGCCGCCUUGGCAAUAGGGAAACUCUCUCUCUCUAGGCUAGGCCUGAUCAGAAAGCAAGGUGUGUGUGUGUGUGUGUUUUUUUUUUUUUUUUAACCUCUGUCAUUAAAGGGACACUGCAAGAUUUAUAGUUGUUUAUUUCCAGAAUUCAUGCUACUCAUUCACUAAUGUUACCCUUUUCAUGAAUACUUACCACCACCAUCAAAUUCUAAGUAUUCAUUAUGACUGGAAAAAUUGCACUUUUCAUACAUACAAAGGGGGAUCUCCUCCAUCAUUGUCCGCCAUUUUGAAUUUCCAGAAAUAGCCAUUUUUAGCUGCAAAAAGGACUGUACUUGGGCCAUAACAGAAAAUCUGAGUUUAUUAUUUAGUAAACUAUCAUGAAAAGAUCAAAUUUGGCAAUAGGCAACCCAGUUACAAUGAGCAGCAUAGUUGCAGUACCCUUUUUGACCAUUUCCU